AGUGUAGCAUUCCUAGCGUGCAGCUAUAAUUUUGCUCCUUGGGCCUACAAGCGGAUCACGCUCUAUUAAUGUCUGGGAAACUGCCCGAUGGAGGGGGAUAACUACUGGAAACGGUAGCUAAUACCGCAUAACGUCGCAAGACCAAAGAGGGGGACCUUCGGGCCUCUUGCCAUCGGAUGUGCCCAGAUGGGAUUAGCUAGUAGGUGGGGUAACGGCUCACCUAGGCGACGAUCCCUAGCUGGUCUGAGAGGAUGACCAGCCACACUGGAACUGAGACACGGUCCAGACUCCUACGGGAGGCAGCAGUGGGGAAUAUUGCACAAUGGGCGCAAGCCUGAUGCAGCCAUGCCGCGUGUAUGAAGAAGGCCUUCGGGUUGUAAAGUACUUUCAGCGAGGAGGAAGGUGUUGUGGUUAAUAACCGCAGCAAUUGACGUUACUCGCAAAAGAAGCACCGGCUAACUCCGUGCCAGCAGCCGCGGUAAUACGGAGGGUGCAAGCGUUAAUCGGAAUUACUGGGCGUAAAGCGCACGCAGGCGGUCUGUCAAGUCGGAUGUGAAAUCCCCGGGCUCAACCUGGAAACUGCAUCCGAAACUGGCAGGCUAGAGUCUUGUAAAGGGGGGUAGAUUCAGGUGUAGCGGUGAAAUCGUAAAGAUCUUGGAG
rnacentral:rRNA from 1 species